GAUGAAGAACGCAGCGAAAUGCGAUACUUGGUGUGAAUUGCAGAAUCCCGUGAACCAUCGAGUCUUUGAACGCAAGUUGCGCCCGAAGCCAUUAGGCCGAGGGCACGCCUGCCUGGGCGUCACACGUCGUUGCCCCCCCAUCUACUCCUUCGGGAUUGCGGGGGGCGGAUGAUGGCCUCUCGUGCGCCUCGUCGCGCGGUUGGCCUAAAUGCCAGGUCCUCGGCGACGCACGCCACGACAAUCGGUGGUUGCGAAACCUCGGUUGCCUGUCGUGUGCGGUCGUCGCGCAUCGAGGGCUCGAAAAAAUUGCCGGGCUUCGGCUCGACUUUCAACGCGACCCCAGGUCAGGCGGGGUUACCCGCUGAAUUUAAGCAUAUCAAUAAGCGGAGGA
rnacentral:misc_RNA from 1 species